CAGUAGUGCAGGGGUCAGCCAUGCCCAUGAGUUGGGCCUUUUAUAUCAUUUUUUCUAUGGUCGACCUUGAAGUAAUUAACGACAUAUGUGAAACACGGACGGAACUCACACAGUAUACAUAGCACCGCAGACGGCGUAACGAGGUAAUUAUCGACUGUGUUGUCAAAGAGGAAAGGCUAAUGUAGAAGAGCCACACUACUAUUAGUUACGACUCCAGCGGUGGCUGGCACCACCGUUUAUUUUGGCAGCUGGUGGCGACGAAGAGAGAACCAUAUGUAGACAAGAGACAGGCAGCUCAUAGAGUUUAUUAGGAAGUGAGGCGAAGUAUGGAUGCUUCAACGCCUCCUCAGCAUCUAUUCGAUCGUCAGGAUUGAGCUGCAGCAGUGAAGAUGCCAUGUUAUCACCCUCAGUCACGUCAUACAGUCUGGGAAAGGACAGUCCUAAUUUCCUAAGUGGAUAAAAUGCCAACCGAUGUGUCUUAUAACCGGGUACAUCUCACACCAGGAAACGUUGGUACACCGGUAAGCAUCUCAACGAAUAUACAACCAACGCCCCACAUAUCUAGUGACGUUGAAUACUCGGUUGAGCCGAGGAGGACAUCCGGUGGCCUGUACCACAGGGUCACGAC